rnacentral:tRNA from 1 species
GAGGGUGUAGCUCAGUGGUAGAAUGUAUGUCUAGCAUGCAAGAGGUCCUGGGUUCAAUCCCUAGUACCUCUA